GAUGAACGCUGGCGGCGUGCUUAACACAUGCAAGUCGAACGAUGAAGCCCAGCUUGCUGGGUGGAUUAGUGGCGAACGGGUGAGUAACACGUGAGUAACCUGCCCUUAACUCUGGGAUAAGCCUGGGAAACUGGGUCUAAUACCGGAUAGGAGCGUCCACCGCAUGGUGGGUGUUGGAAAGAUUUAUCGGUUUUGGAUGGACUCGCGGCCUAUCAGCUUGUUGGUGAGGUAAUGGCUCACCAAGGCGACGACGGGUAGCCGGCCUGAGAGGGUGACCGGCCACACUGGGACUGAGACACGGCCCAGACUCCUACGGGAGGCAGCAGUGGGGAAUAUUGCACAAUGGGCGCAAGCCUGAUGCAGCGACGCCGCGUGAGGGAUGACGGCCUUCGGGUUGUAAAACUCUUUCAGUAGGGAAGAAGCGAAAGUGACGGUACCUGCAGAAGAAGCACCGGCUAACUACGUG
rnacentral:rRNA from 1 species